rnacentral:lncRNA from 1 species
CGGCUAACAAAAUGAAAUCAGAGUUUCUAGCUCGGCUACAAAAAUGGCGCGAAGCAUGGCAUAUGAACAAAUCUCUGUCUGGCCGCUCUUGGCUAGGUCAACUUCUAAACAUGUACAUCAUUACCUGCAUCAUAAGAACCUAAUGAGCUAAUGGCUCAGCAAGUUGAAACGGAUGUAAUAGCAAUAUAUCACAUAACACGUUAUUCAUUCAAUAUGUACAAUAUCACAUAUAACUUCAUUCGUGAUCCUUUU